GCCAAGCCAAAUCAUUUGAUUUGAAUAAAAAAAUUAAAAACCGCCUCCCCCACUGAUUGAAUGGUCUGCCCUACAAAGUUUGGAAUUGGACAUAAAGAAAUGUUUGGUGAGUAAAGUUGUUAUACCUUAAUUUGCCAUACGAAAGAGAGAGUCUUACUUUCUUUUGUUAAAGUAGCUAAAAGCCUAAAACAUUCAAUGGUUUCUAGAUCACAUUGCCAGCCUUCAUAUUACCUGGAUCACAUCUUUAUUCUCAAAAUUUCCUAGCUAGCCAUUUGACUUGAAAAGAGAACAUACAAGCUAACCAGAAGCUUUAAGUUUCACAAAUCAGUUUAGACAAAAGCUUUAGAUACCUUAAAAAGUCAUAAUUGCAUCUUUUUCGUUCUCCCAAACAUCAACUACUUGCAGAACAAUCUGACAGUGAAGGAAAGAAAUUUGAAGUAGCUAUCAAGUUAAAAAAAGAGAAAAAAAAAAAAAAGACUCUCGGACUGUAGGUUUGAGCAGGAAAAAUGCCAUGGUAGGAUAACUGGAGCUUCAUUCCCAAAAAAUUCACCAGCAAGACCCAAAGAGGUGAGGGGAAGGGAGAGAAUUUGAGGAGUACAACUAGAGUUGGGCCUGCGAUGACGCGAUCAACAAAAUAUGGAUUCAUUCAUUGUUUUCUCAAGGCCUUUGUUCAUGUAAUUUGGGCCUCCUUCCCCUCCUAAACACAUUGUCCCCCUCAAAAGAGGAAGGGGAGAAAACAGAAUAAAGAUAGUAAUUGGUAAUA